UACGAAGGGGGCUAGCGUUGCUCGGAAUUACUGGGCGUAAAGGGCGCGUAGGCGGGUCGUUUAGUUAGAGGUGAAAGCCCAGGACUCAACCCUGGAAUUGCCUUUAAUACUGGCGGCCUUGAGUAUGGCAGAGGUGUGUGGAACUCCGAGUGUAGAGGUGAAAUUCGUAGAUAUUCGCAAGAACACCAGGGGCGAAGGCGGCUCACUGGCCCGGGACCGACGCUGAGGUGCGAAAGCGUGGGGAGCAAACAGG
rnacentral:rRNA from 1 species